GGCGCUAUGGUGUAGUGGUAGCACAUGGGAUUCUGAUGUAAUCGUAUUCCCACAACCCAGGUUCGAACCCUGGUAGUGCCU